rnacentral:rRNA from 1 species
CGCUACCUACGGGGGGCAGCAGCAGGGAAUCUUCCACAAUGGGCGAAAGCCUGAUGGAGCAACGCCGCGUGGGUGAAGAAGGUCUUCGGAUCGUAAAACCCUGUUGUUAGAGAAGAAAGUGCGUGAGAGUAACUGUUCAUAUUUCGACGGUAUCUAACCAGAAAGCCACGGCUAACUACGUGCCAGCAGCCGCGGUAAUACGUAGGUGGCAAGCGUUAUCCGGAUUUAUUGGGCGUAAAGGGAA